rnacentral:rRNA from 1 species
UUCUUUUUAGAUUUUUUAGAAAGUAAGGUCUGCCCACUGAAUUUUUAAAGGGCCGCAGUAUUAUGACUGUGCAAAGGUAGCAUAAUCAUUAGUUUCUUAAUUAGAGAAUGGAAUGAAUGGCUUAACAAAGAAAUUUUUUAUUAAUUUUAAAAAUUGAAUUUUAAAUUAAAGUGAAAAUGCUUAAAUUAUUUUAUAAGACGAUAAGACCCUUUAGAUCUUUAUAUUAUAUUAAAAUUAGUUAAAAAUUAAUAUUUCACUGGGGUAGUGUAAGGAAAAAUAAAACUCCUUAAAUUUAAAUUAUAUUAUAAAAUUUUAAUCUUGAAUUUUGAAAAUAARAAAAAGUUACCUAAGGGAUAACAGCGUUAAUAAUUCUAAGAGUCCUUAUCGAUGAAUUAAUUUGCGACCUCGAUGUUGAAUUAAAAAUUCUAAAUAUAGAAGAAUAUAUUAAAGAUAGUCUGUUCGACUAUAAAAUUUUUACA